rnacentral:tRNA from 1 species
GUUUAAAUAGCUUAAACUAAAGCGAGGCAUUGAAGCGGCUUAGAUGAUCUAUAUCUUUAAAUA